UACAGAGGGGGCAAGCGUUGUUCGGAAUUACUGGGCGUAAAGGGCGCGUAGGCGGCCUGUUAAGUCGAACGUGAAAUCCCCGGGCUCAACCCGGGAACUGCGUCCGAUACUGGCAGGCUUGAAUCCGGGAGAGGGAUGCGGAAUUCCAGGUGUAGCGGUGAAAUGCGUAGAUAUCGGAAGGAACAUCAGUGGCGAAAGCGGCUUCCGUGGACCAGUACCGACGUCAGGCACGAACGACGUGGGGAGCAAACAGG
rnacentral:rRNA from 1 species